GACGAACCGUGCGAACGUUGUUCGGAAUCACUGGGCUUAAAGGGCGCGUAGGCGGACUCGCCAGUCUGUGGUGAAAGCCCCCAGCUCAACUGGGGAAGGGCCGUGGAUACUGCGAGUCUGGAGGAGGGUAGGGGCAUCUGGAACGCUGGGUGGAGCGGUGAAAUGCGUUGAUAUCCAGCGGAACUCCGGUGGCGAAGGCGAGGUGCUGGACCCUUUCUGACGCUGAGGCGCGAAAGCCAGGGGAGCGAACGGG
rnacentral:rRNA from 1 species